rnacentral:tRNA from 1 species
GUUAUUUUAGUGUUAAUAUGCAUGUUGGUUUUUCGUAUCAAAGGUGAUUGUUUUAAGGUCAGAUAAUG